rnacentral:rRNA from 1 species
AGCUUAUUUGUCUACAAGCCUAAUCACUCAACCAUCACCUUAAUCCUCUAGCACUACUGAGUAAUUCUAUAACACUAUAGAAAAUUUUAUGUUAAAACUAGUAACAUGAAGGAAGUUCUUCUCUUCAAUGCAAGUGUACAUCAGUAAGGAUAAACCACUGAUACCUAGCGCACAAUGAAAUCAAAGUAGGAACUAAUCAAGAAAAAUCUACUCUCACCAGCGUUAACCUAACACAAGAGCAUUACAAGAAAGAUUAAAAGAAAAAGAAGGAACUCGGCAAAUAUUAACCUCGCCUGUUUACCAAAAACAUCGCCUCUUGAAUAAUUAUAAGAGGUCCAGCCUGCCCAGUGACCAUGUUCAACGGCCGCGGUAUCCUAACCGUGCGAAGGUAGCGUAAUCACUUGUUCUUUAAAUGUGGACUAGUAUGAAUGGCACCACGAAGGUUAUACUGUCUCCUUUUUCUAAUCAGUGAAACUAAUCUCCCCGUGAAGAAGCGGGGAUAACUCUAUAAGACGAGAAGACCCUAUGGAGCUUAAAACAACAUAACAAUUGCUCCACAACACAUAAUUUCCCGAAUUCUCCACUUCUAUGAGCAAUAUGUUUACAAGUUUUUGGUUGGGGUGACCGCGGAGCAUAACACAACCUCCAUGUUGAAAGAAUUUUUCUAAGCUAAGACCAACUAGCCUAAGCAUCAGUACUCUGACAUUCAUUGACCCAAUAUAUUUGAACAACGAACCAAGUUACCCUAGGGAUAACAGCGCAAUCCACUUCAAGAGCUCCUAUCGACAAGUGGGUUUACGACCUCGAUGUUGGAUCAGGGUAUCCCAGUGGUGCAGCCGCUACUAAA